rnacentral:rRNA from 1 species
GGUGUAAAACGUCGUGAGACAGUUUGGUCCCUAUCUUCCGUGGGCGCUGCAAGAGUGAGAGAGCCUGCUCCUAGUACGAGAGGACCGGAGUGGACGCACCUCUGGUGUAUCGGUUGUCACGCCAGUGGCAUUGCCGAGUAGCUAAGUGCGGAAGAGAUAACCGCUGAAAGCAUCUAAGCGGGAAACUCGUCUCAAGAUGAGUCUUGCCGGGGCCUUGAGCCCCCUGAAGGGUCGUUCGAGACCAGGACGUUGAUAGGCUGGGUGUGGAAGCGCAGUAAUGCGUUAAGCUAACCAGUACUAAUUGCCCGUGAGGCUUGACCAU